AUCUUUUUGCAGCUCAUGAGUAUGACAAUUGGGUGUUCAUGCAUGUAUGUGAGGUGUGCCACCCUCUGAACCUUGUUACAACAUUGGCACAUUAUGUCUCUGAAC